rnacentral:lncRNA from 1 species
GUUUUCAAAAGGGUCUUUCCAUAAAUUACUUUAUUUCUCAUUAAAUGAGCACAGAGUCAUUACCAUAUUAAUAACAGAUAUGUUUAUUAUUACAUAUCCAUCAGUGCGGCUUUCAAUACCACUUGAAACAUGCAAAUCGUCCUAAGGACGAAUCAGUUUUCCAGUGCUUCUUAUUUAAUACACAACUGCAAAGCCAUUAUAAAUUACUGAGGAGGUAUUUGGUUAAGAAAUAAAAUAAAAUAAAACCAUACUGCCCAUACCAUGAAUGUAUUCCUGCUACAAAGCAAGAGUCUGACAGCAUUCACUGCAAUUCCUGAAUUACCCAGAGCUUUUGUGUUACAUGCUUUCCUUUUUUUUUCCCUGCAUUGCCUACACAUCUCUUGGCUUAAACCCGAAUCAGUCUUUCUUUGUAAGAGGAAUUUUCAUUCAAAGAUUGUACUUAAUUUAGAAAAUGCAUCUACAAUACUUAAACCAAUUAAAAUUCAGUAAAAACCACGGAUAUGCGAUAGGUUUUUUAGACCUUUCCUUUGUUUAGUUUUAGAUUUCUACAUUUAUUGACAUGGCAAUAAUACAAUUAUCUCAAAUUAAGGCACUAAAAGGACAAUGUAAAACCCAGUAAAAGUGUUCUAAGAAUAAUUUACAGUUCAAACAGUGCAUAUAUUUCAUAAUGUUUGUUAACUUAAUGUACGUUAUCACUUAAAAUUGUAAGGCAAUACAUUACACAGUUAUAGAAAUGAUGUACCCCAAAAUACGCUUCCAAACUCGGUGGUUCGUUUUACUGUUAGUUUCUAAUGCCUCUAAUAGUACAAUAAUUCAGUAUGGCUUGGCAAAAAUGCAUAGAUUAAAGGCAAUUACUUGUUUUCCCCCCUUUACAAACCUGCUGAAAUCAGUAUUUUGUAAAGCAUAAUGCAAAAUAUUUAACACUUUGAUCCAUUCCAUAGUGGGUGGUUAGCAAUAAGGCUGUUAAGAACUCUGCAGUGAAGGCACUGAAGUUCAAGUGAUAAGGCUUCAUUUUUAAGCUAGUUCUGCAGUCUUCAAGAGCACAACUCUGAGUCUUGAAAGCAAUUGCAGUCCUUCUCACUGAGAUACCCUUCUCCUCUACUCCGUUUCGUAUGCUCAUCUUGACAUAAAUAGCCCCUUCACAGGGUGAGUAGUCCUUUUCUUUCACUGAUACGAAGAAAGUUGGCUGCAUUUCAUCACGACUGACAGGCUUUUUUUAAAAAAUCCAAAAAGGCAGCACCUUUUUUUAUACACCUAGCUAAGCUUUAUUUGCUUUAACUUGCAUUACAUAGUAAUAAUUAAUCUAAUCUACCUUUAGGCAAACC